rnacentral:lncRNA from 1 species
AGUCCUUCGCCGUCCCUCGCCGUCCUUCGCCAUCGCACGCCACCGCACCCCAUCUCUCGAAAUCUGCAGACAUCUUGAUUUUUCCCACGCUGUCUGUCAGGUCUCCGCCGCCACUCGACGCCAGGGCGCCGGGUGAGUCCACAGCAGGGCGCAUGGUCGGCUCCACUCUCACCAUCGGGGGAAACUGAGGCCCCGGGGAAGGCGGCCAGAGAGGUCAGGCCCUGUCCUUGGUGCAGUGUCUCGUCCUCUUUGCCGGAGUGAGCCCCCCAGGAUUCGCGUGUCCUCGGGAAAGACACUGGCAGGAGUGUCACAUGACUGCCGCCCCAUGUGUGUGAGAGGCGUCCUCUGGGAGAGCAUGGAUCCUGAGGUCCCAGGAUUGUCAGCUGACCUCUGUCCUGUGUGCCCAGUGGCCCCAGGUGACGUGUCUUCAAGAAGAGGCUGAGCUGCGGUGCUUGUAAGGCAGGGUCUCAUUCUGUCACCCAGGCUGGAGUGCAGUGGUGCAAUGAUGGCUCACUGCAGCCUCGACCUGGGCUCAAGUGAUCCUCCACCUCAGCUUCCUGAGUAGCUGGGACCACAGAGUCAUGUGCUGUUCCUGGGGCUUGGAUGAUGUAGGGGAAGCAAGGUGAAAGUGGUAUCCCGUGGUUCCACGUUCUGUCCUGCUGUGGGGCUGUCCCUCACAUGCUUUCAGUGGCUGUUGCAGAGGAAGAGCCUCCGGAAAUCUGCGUGGGUAAAGUCUCAGCCUUAGAUCCAAGGACAGUCCAAGGAAGUCCUAAGACCAUGGAGUUGGUGAUCUGGGAUCUGGGUUUGCUGAUAUUUCUCACCGUGAAUCUCUUGGUGGUGUUUGUGGGCACGAGAGGGGCAGAGAAUGGAGAGUGAGGCUACCACAUGAAGCGUCACCAGAGCUGCUCCCUGCUGCCUGCUCAGAGCACCCCGGAUCCACUGUUCAAUCUGCACAAGAUUCGGGGUCCAGACAUGGGAGACUUCAGCUGCCUCAGAGGACCGUGGACAGGGAAGGCCAGCCUCGCAUCCCUCUGUCCAUGCCUGGAAUGACUUUAAUAACCAAGAGUUUUAUUUUUGAAUUUGUAGCUGUCGUUCACUUUUUACCCACCCAUUCAAUAAACCUUACAGAAUUGCUCCA